AAUCAACGCUGGCGGCGUGCCUAACACAUGCAAGUCGAACGCGAAAGCCCGCAAGGGUAAGUAGAGUGGCGCACGGGUGAGUAACACGUGGACAACCUGCCUUCGAGUGGGGAAUAACCUUCCGAAAGGAGGGCUAAUACCGCAUAACACCUCGGGACACAAGUUCUGGGGUUGAAAAGAGCAAUUUGCUCGAAGAGGGGUCCGCGCCUGAUUAGCUAGUUGGUGAGGUAACGGCUCACCAAGGCUUCGAUCAGUAGCCGUCCUGAGAGGGAGCACGGCCACACUGGAACUGAGACACGGUCCAGACUCCUACGGGAGGCAGCAGUGGGGAAUUUUGGCAAUGGGCGAAAGCCUGACCAAGCAACGCCGCGUGGGUGAUGAAGUAUCUUGGUACGU
rnacentral:rRNA from 1 species